ACGGAGGGUGCAAGCGUUAAUCGGAAUUACUGGGCGUAAAGGGUGCGUAGGUGGUUGUAUAAGUUAUCUGUGAAAUCCCUGGGCUUAACCUAGGCAGGUCAGAUAAGACUGUAUGACUCGAGUAUGGGAGAGGGUAGUGGAAUUUCCGGUGUAGCGGUGAAAUGCGUAGAGAUCGGAAGGAACACCAGUGGCGAAGGCGGCUACCUGGCCCAAUACUGACACUGAGGCACGAAAGCGUGGGGAGCAAACAGG
rnacentral:rRNA from 1 species